AUACUGACCUGGCAGGGAAGACACCAUGAUCACGAAGGUGGUUUUCCCAGGGCGAGGCUCACCCAUUGCACUGCGGGUGUGCUGACCCCUGCGACUUCCCCAAAUACGGGAAACCCCACUGCAUGGUUCGUGCUAGUGGGGGACUGCCUCCGUCCGCGCUCUCCCCUG